GAUUAAAGAACUCAGACUAAAGACGCCACAUCCAUGUGGCAACGUCUGAGUGACCCGCAUCCUGCGGG
rnacentral:sRNA from 1 species